rnacentral:lncRNA from 1 species
GGAGCCGGGGAUAAGCUUGGUGCUAUCUCUUCUUCUUAGUUUUCUUAUUUCUUUUGUGUUAGUGUUGAUUCUAGUGAAGAGAAUUGAUUUAAUGAAUUAAUGUUUGAUUUGCAAAGUUGUUUAUGGAUCACUAUUUAUCAAUUGUUGUGAAAGAUUGAGGACGUAUGGAAGUUUCCAGUCACUGUUUAUUGCAAGGUUGUAAGUUUAGUGGAGAGGAAUUGUAAUCGAAGGAAUUGUCUUGAUUAGAUUCUGUGGAUUGAAAGUUGUUCGUUCCAAGGUUUGGGAUAUGCUUGUGUAUUCGUGAAUUAUACAGGGUAGUGAAAUCGUUGUCGUGGAUGUUAUUGUAUUGAUAUGAGAGAGUGGACAGUAG